rnacentral:rRNA from 1 species
AUUGAACGCUGGCGGCAGGCCUAACACAUGCAAGUCGAGCGGAUGAAGGGAGCUUGCUCCUGGAUUCAGCGGCGGACGGGUGAGUAAUGCCUAGGAAUCUGCCUGGUAGUGGGGGAUAACGUCCGGAAACGGGCGCUAAUACCGCAUACGUCCUGAGGGUGAAAGUGGGGGAUCUUCGGACCUCACGCUAUCUUAUGAGCCUAGGUCGGAUUAGCUAGUUGGUGGGGUAAAGGCCUACCAAGGCGACGAUCCGUAACUGGUCUGAGAGGAUGAUCAGUCACACUGGAACUGAGACACGGUCCAGACUCCUACGGGAGGCAGCAGUGGGGAAUAUUGGACAAUGGGCGAAAGCCUGAUCCAGCAAUGCCGCGUGUGUGAAGAAGGUCUUCGGAUUGUAAAGCACUUUAAGUUGGGAGGAAGGGCAGUAAGUUAAUACCUUGCUGUUUUGACGUUACCAACAGAAUAAGCACCGGCUAACUUCGUG